rnacentral:rRNA from 1 species
GACGAACGCUGGCGGCGUGCUUAACACAUGCCAGUCGAACGGAAAGGCCUGUCCUUCCUUGUGUUGGACGGGUACUCGAGUGGCGAACGGGUGAGUAACACGUGAGUGAUCUGCCCCCAACUUGGGUAUAAGCCUGGGAAACUGGGUCUAAUUCCCGAUAGGACUGCAGGGUGGUGCCUGUGGUGGAAAACGAUUUUCUAGUGGUUGGGGAUGAGCUCGCGGCCUAUCAGCUUGUUGGUGGGGUAAUGGCCUACCAAGGCGGCGACGGGUAGCCGGCCUGAGAGGGUGGACGGCCACAUUGGGACUGAGAUACGGCCCAGACUCCUACGGGAGGCAGCAGUGGGGAAUAUUGCACAAUGGGCGGAAGCCUGAUGCAGCGACGCCGCGUGGGGGAUGACGGCCUUCGGGUUGUAAACUCCUUUCGACCGCGAGGAAGCCGCCUGGUUGGAAGGGUGGUGACGGUAGUGGUAGAAGAAGCACCGGCUAACUACGUG